AGUUCAGUUUGGUUAGAAUACCGGCCUGUCACGCCGGGGGUCGCGGGUUCGAGCCCCGUC
rnacentral:tRNA from 1 species